rnacentral:tRNA from 1 species
CGGUGUAGCUCAGUUGGUAGAGCAGCUGAUUUGUAAUCAGCGGGUCGGGGGUUCAAAUCCUCUCGCC